rnacentral:rRNA from 1 species
AUUGAACGCUGGCGGCAGGCCUAACACAUGCAAGUCGAACGAGUGGCGGACGGGUGAGUAAUGUAUGGGACACUGCCUGAUGGAGGGGGAUCACUACUGGACACGGUAACUAAUACCGCAUACAUUCGGCUGUGCCGAGAUGGGUUUAGCUAGUAGGUGGGGUAACGGCUCACCGAGGCGACGAUCCCUAGCUGGUCUGAGAGGAUGACCAGUCACACUGGAACUGAGACACGGUCCAGAAUCCUACGGGAGGCAGCAGUGGGGAAUAUUGCACAAUGGGCGCAAGCCUGAUGCAGCCAUGCCGCGUGUAUGAAGAAGGCCUUCGGGUUGUAAAGUACUUUCAGCGGGGAGGCGUUACCCGCAGAAGAAGCACCGGCUAACUCCGUGCCAGCAGCCGCGGUAAUUC